UACGUAGGGUGCAAACGUUGUCCGGAGUUACUGGGCGUAAAGCGCACGCAGGCGGUCUGCUAAGUUUGGAGUGACAGUUGGUGGCUUAACUGCCAAAGUGCUUCGAAAACUGACAGACUUGAGGGCUUCAGAGGGACACGGAAUUCCGGGUGGAGUGGUGAAAUGCGUAGAGAUCCGGAGGAACACCAAAGGCGAAGGCAGUGUCCUGGGGAGUACCUGACGCUCAGGUGCGAAAGCCAGGGGAGCGAACGGG
rnacentral:rRNA from 1 species